rnacentral:rRNA from 1 species
GAUGAACGCUGGCGGCGUGCCUAAUACAUGCAAGUCGAGCGAACAGACGAGGAGCUUGCUCCUCUGACGUUAGCGGCGGACGGGUGAGUAACACGUGGAUAACCUACCUAUAAGACUGGGAUAACUUCGGGAAACCGGAGCUAAUACCGGAUAAUAUAUUGAACCGCAUGGUUCAAUAGUGAAAGACGGUUUUGCUGUCACUUAUAGAUGGAUCCGCGCCGCAUUAGCUAGUUGGUAAGGUAACGGCUUACCAAGGCAACGAUGCGUAGCCGACCUGAGAGGGUUAUCGGCCACACUGGAACCGGGACACGGUCCAGACUCCUACGGGAGGCCGCCGUAGGGAAUCUUCCGCCAUGGGCGAAAGCCUGACGGAGCAACGCCGCGUGAGUGAUGAAGGUCUUCGGAUCGUAAAACUCUGUUAUUAGGGAAGAACAAAUGUGUAAGUAACUAUGCACGUCUUGACGGUACCUAAUCAGAAAGCCACGGCUAACUACGUG